AUGCCCUGUCCGGUUGAAGCUAAACGCAAAUGGAGCAUGGUGGGUGUCACCAAAUAUUUCAAAGAACACAACCACGACCUCACAAAGAAGUUUGACCUAGUAAAAAUUCUGAGCGCCCACAGAGGAUUCAGCCGCAUCAAGAAGAAAUUCAUAAGGUUGCUACAUGAUUGUAACGUCGGUCCAUCAAGAAUGGUCCAAAUACGGUCCCUGGUCCACAGCGGAGAUGGUAGUCUGAGUAGCAUGCCCUACAUACCAGCAGAUGUCACAAACCUAAAGGCAAAGUACCGUAGAGAGAGCAGGUUGGAUGACAUAGAAGACACAAUAGGCUACUUCGAAGAGAAAGCAAAAGCAGAUAAUGAUUUCUUCUAUAGGAUAAGAUUGGACGAUGAGGACCAUGUCAGAAACAUGUAUUGGGUGGAUGGUGCUGCAAGAAGAGCCUACAAACAUUUCCGUGAUUGCAUUUCGUUCGACGCGACAUAUCUCACGAAUAUGUGCAAGAUGCCCUGUGAUCCAUUCAUAGGAAUAAAUAACCACAAUCAGUCCUUGCAGUUCGGUUGCGGUCUCGUUCAGAACGAAGAUACCGAUGGUUACAGGCUGUUCAAAACCUUCUUGGAGUGCAUGGAUGGACUUGCUCCGAUGAACAUAAUAACAGACCAGGAUGUUAGCAUGCGCGCAGGCAUAGAGGAGGUCUUUCCAUCGGCAGUGCACAGGCACUACAGGUGGCAUAUUAUUAAGAAGGAUGAAGAGACGCUAGGACCAUUCUUCGCUGACCGUCCAGAGCUACACAAGGCAUUCGAGUAG
rnacentral:rRNA from 1 species